rnacentral:lncRNA from 1 species
CUGUGUUCUCCUCAAGGAUUUUGAUGGAUUCCUUUCGCACAUUGAGGUCCUUUAUCCAUUUUGAGUCUAUUUUUGUGUGUGGUGUAAGGAAAUGGUCCAAUUUCAUUUUUCUGCAUGUGGUACGAGAAGAAUAAAUGAAAGAAAAUGGGAUUGGGAGGGAGACAAACCAUAAGUGACUCUUAAUCUCACAAAACAAACUGAGGGUUGCUGG